rnacentral:rRNA from 1 species
GCCUAGGAUAGCUCUGCGGCCUAUCAGGUUGUAGCGAGGGUAACGUCCUCGCUAGCCUACGACGGGUAUGGGUGUUGGGAGACAUCGCCCAGAGAUGGAUUCUGAGACACGAAUCCAGGCCCUACGGGGCGCAGCAGGCGCGAAAACUGCACAAUGUGGGAAACCACGAUGCGGGAAGCCCAAGUGCCAGCGCUAUGCGUUGGCUGUCCUCAACCGUUCAUUGGUUGGGAAGAAAGUGCUGGGUAAGACGGGUGCCAGCCGCCGCGGUAAUACUCGCAGCACAAGUGGUGGUCAUUAUUAUUGGGCCUAAAGCGUCCGUAGCUUGCGUGCUAGAUGCCUGGGUAAAUCGAUGUGCUUAACGCAUCGAAUUCCGGGUAGACCGGCACGCUCGAGACCGGGAGAGGUGUAGGGUACUCGGGGGGUAGGGGUAAAAUCCUGUAAUCCUCCGGGGACGACCAGUGGCGAAGGCGCUACACUAGAACGGCUCUGACAGUGAGGGACGAAGCCCUGGGGCGCAAACCGGAUUAGAUACCCGGGUAGUCCAGGGUGUAAACGCUGCGGACUUGGUGUCGGUGAUCCUAUGAGGGUUGCCGGUGCCGUAGAGAAGUUGUUUAGUCCGCCGCCUGGGGAGUACGGUCGCAAGACUGAAACUUAAAGGAAUUGGCGG